AUUCCGGAGAGGGAGCCUGAGAAACGGCUACCACAUCCAAGGAAGGCAGCAGGCGCGCAAAUUACCCAUUCCCGACGCGGGGAGGUAGUGACGAAAAAUAACAAUGCAGGACUCGUUCGAGGCCCUGUAAUUGGAAUGAGUACACUUUAAAAGCUUUAACGAGUAUCCAUUGGAGGGCAAGUCUGGUGCCAGCAGCCGCGGUAAUUCCAGCUCCAAAAGUAUAUAUUUAAGUUGUUGCGGUUAAAAAGCUCGUAGUUGGAUUUUGGGCGCAGGCGGCCGGUCCGUCGCAAGGCGUGUACUGGACGUCCUGGCCUUCCCUCCGGUUCUCCGCCGGUGCUCUUGACUGAGUGUCGGCGGCGGCCGGAACGUUUACUUUGAAAAAAUUAGAGUGUUCAAAGCAGGCUCUCGAGCCUGGAUAAUGGUGCAUGGAAUAAUGGAAUAGGACCUCGGUUCUAUUUUGUUGGUUUUCGGAGCGCGAGGUAAUGAUUAAGAGGGACAGACGGGGGCAUUCGUACUGUGCCGUUAGAGGUGAAAUUCUUGGAUCGGCGCAAGACGAACGACUGCGAAAGCAUUUGCCAAGAAUGUUUUCUUUAAUCAAGAGCGAAAGUCAGAGGUUCGAAGACGAAUCAGAUACCGUCCUAGUUCUGACUAUAAACGAUGCCACUAGCGAUCGGGGGGGCGUUACAUUG
rnacentral:ncRNA from 1 species